GGCCGCGGGAAUUCGAUUCAGGCCUAACACAUGCAAGUCGUACGAGAGUUUUUAACUCAAGUGGCGGACGGGUGAGUAACACGUAAGAAUUUGCCUCUAGGAGGGGGACAACAACUAGAAAUGGUUGCUAAUACCCCAUAUGCUUUCGAGUGAAAUGGAUUUUUCCGCCUAGAGAGAAGCUUGCGGCUGAUUAGCUUGUUGGUGAGGUAAUGGCUCACCAAGGCGACGAUCAGUAUCUGGUUUGAGAGGACGAUCAGACACACUGGAACUGAGACACGGUCCAGACUCCUACGGGAGGCAGCAGUGGGGAAUUUUCCGCAAUGGGCGAAAGCCUGACGGAGCAAUACUGCGUGAGGGAUGACGGCCUAUGGGUUGUAAACCUCUUUUAUCAGGGAGGAAUCAAUGAC
rnacentral:rRNA from 1 species